AUGCUCACUUCGGCAACAUAUACACUAAAAUUGGAAAAUACAGAGAGGAUUAGCAUGCCCCUGUGCAAGGAUGACAUGCAAAUUCAUGAAGCAUUUCAUAUGUUU
rnacentral:snRNA from 1 species